rnacentral:rRNA from 1 species
CCUACGGGAGGCAGCAGUGAGGAAUAUUGGUCAAUGGGCUUACGCCUGAACCAGCCAAGUCGCGUGAGGGAAGACUGCCCUAUGGGUUGUAAACCUCUUUUGUCAGGGAGCAAUUGGCGCUACGUUUAGCGUUAUCGAUAGUACCUGAAGAAAAAGCAUCGACUAACUCCGUGCCAGCAGCCGCGGUAAUACGGAGGAUGCGAGCGUUAUCCGGAUUUAUUGGGUUUAAAGGGUGCGUAGGCGGAAUGCCAAGUCAGCGGUAAAAUCGCGGGGCUCAACCUCGCUCCGCCGUUGAAACUGGCGUUCUUGAGUGGGAGAGAAGUAUGCGGAAUGCGUGGGGUAGCUGUGAAAUGCAUAGAUAUCAUACAGAACACCGAUUGCGAAGGCAGCUUACCAAACUAUAUCUGACGUUGAGGCACGAAAGCGUGGGUAGCAAACAGGAUUAGAUACCCGAGUAGUC